GAUGAACGCUGGCGGCGUGCCUAAUACAUGCAAGUCGAGCGAACAGAUGAGGAGCUUGCUCCUCUGACGUUAGCGGCGGACGGGCGAGUAACACGUGGAUAACCUACCUAUAUGACUGGGAUAACUUCGGGAAACCGGAGCUAAUACCGGAUAAUAUAUUGAACCGCAUGGUUCAAUAGUGAAAGACGGUUUUGCUGUCACUUAUAGAUGGAUCCGCGCCGCAUUAGCUAGUUGGUAAGGUAACGGCUUACCAAGGCAACGAUGCGUAGCCGACCUGAGAGGGUGAUCGGCCACACUGGAACUGAGACACGGUCCAGACUCCUACGGGAGGCAGCAGUAGGGAAUCUUCCGCAAUGGGCGAAAGCCUGACGGAGCAACGCCGCGUGAGUGAUGAAGGUCUUCGGAUCGUAAAACUCUGUUAUUAGGGAAGAACAAAUGUGUAAGUAACUAUGCACGUCUUGACGGUACCUAAUCAGAAAGCCACGGCUAACUACGUG
rnacentral:rRNA from 1 species